AUGACCGUUUACUUAAUCCACGGCGUACACACACGCUACAAUAGGACGAGGUACAACAGGUUGCCAAGCCGCGAGGCGGAGCCAAUCCUCUAAAGCUGUCCUCAGUUCAGAUUGCAGGCUGCAACUCGCCUGUAUGAAGUUGGAGUUGCUAGUAACCGCAGGUCAGCUAUACUGCGGUGAAUACGUUCCCGGGGAUU
rnacentral:rRNA from 1 species